rnacentral:lncRNA from 1 species
UCUCUAUGUUGCUCUGAAUGCCCCAACUCCCCUAGCUCUAUGUUACGAUCCCCCACAUCGUUAAGUAAGUCUCGAAAGUAUUCCUGCCACCUCUGCUUAACUUGAGACUCCCCCAUCAGAACUCUACCAUCCUCGCCCUUGAUGCACCUAACUUGGUCCAGAUCACGCGCCUUCUUUUCCCUUUCUCUAGCUAACCGGAAUAACUUCCUGUGCCCGCCUUUCUCCCCUAAUUCCUCGUACAUGCGACCAAAUGCCGCGUUUUUGGCUUCCGUAACCGCCAUCUUUGCUUCUUUCCUUGCCGCCUUGUAGAUAUCCCUGUUCGCUCUCCGUUCUUCCUCGCUUGUGCUCCCUGCCAUCUUAGCAAACGUCUCCUUCUU